rnacentral:rRNA from 1 species
UGUCAAAACGACUCUCGGCAACGGAUAUCUCGGCUCUCGCAUCGAUGAAGAACGUAGCGAAAUGCGAUACUUGGUGUGAAUUGCAGAAUCCCGUGAACCAUCGAGUCUUUGAACGCAAGUUGCGCCCAAAGCCGUUAGGCCGAGGGCACGUCUGCCUGGGCGUCACGC